ACGGAGGAUUUAAGGAAGAAGGUAGAAGGAUCCCAGGGAGAGGUUCUUUGAUUUUAGAAAGGACUUUUGAAGGAGAGCACCAUGGCCUGGACACUGGUCUUCCUUUCCUUUCUGCCUUAUUUCUCAUGCGUCACUUCACAGCCCACCUUGACUCAGCCUGCCUCCCAGUCUGCAUCUCCAGGAGAAACCAUUAAACUCUCCUGUGCCAUCAGCAGCAGUCCAAACACCAUUGGCUGGGUUCAACAGAGAUCUGGAGAGGCCCCUCGCUUUGUGCACUGCGAUGGCUGCAGCAGGGGACCAGGGAUCCCAGACCGAUUCACGGGCACCCGAUCAGGCAACAACGGCUACUUAACCAUCACCAACCUUCAGGCUGAAGACGAGGCCGAUUAUUACUGUUUCAUGUGGUACAGCAGUGGCAGCGUGUUGCACAGUGAGACAGACUGAUGUGGAACUGCGACA